AGCUUAAGUAUAAUAUUUAAAGUUAAGCCUGCCCAGUGAGUUUUCUUUAACGGCCGCAGUACUUUGACUGUGCUAAGGUAGCAUAAUAAAUUGGCUUUUAAUUUAAGUCGGGAAUGAAAGGGCUAAUGGGGAAAUUCUGUCUUACUUUAACUAUUUAAAAUUUACUUAAUAGGUGAAAAUUCCUAUAUUUUUAUGAUAGACGAGAAGACCCUAAGAAUUAUUAUUACAUAUUAAUUUAUUUAGUAAUCAUUUUUGUUGGGGCAACAUAGUUGGAAAACCAACUAAACAUAAAAUUUUAUAUGAAAGUUUUAUCAUGAAUAAUUUUAAUUACCUUAGGGAUAACAGCAUAAUUAAUUUAUUAGAUUGUGACCUCGAUGUUGGACUAAGGACAUUAAUAAUUAGCCGUUGUUAAUGAUAGUUCUGUUCGAACUUUUUAACCUU
rnacentral:rRNA from 1 species